rnacentral:rRNA from 1 species
GAUGAACGCUGGCGGCGUGCCUAAUACAUGCAAGUCGAGCGAAUAGAUAAGGAGCUUGCUCCUUUGACGUUAGCGGCGGACGGGUGAGUAACACGUGGGUAACCUACCUAUAAGACUGGAAUAACUCCGGGAAACCGGGGCUAAUGCCGGAUAACAUUUAGAACCGCAUGGUUCUAAAGUGAAAGAUGGUUUUGCUAUCACUUAUAGAUGGACCCGCGCCGUAUUAGCUAGUUGGUAAGGUAAUGGCUUACCAAGGCAACGAUACGUAGCCGACCUGAGAGGGUGAUCGGCCACACUGGAACUGAGACACGGUCCAGACUCCGACGGGAGGCAGCAGUAGGGAAUCUUCCGCAAGUGGCGAAAGCCUGACGGAGCAACGCCGCGUGAGUGAUGAAGGGUUUCGGCUCGUAAAACUCUGUUAUUAGGGAAGAACAAACGUGUAAGUAACUGUGCACGUCUUGACGGUACCUAAUCAGAAAGCCACGGCUAACUACGUGCCAGCCGCCGCCGUAA